GGUAGAGUUAGGUCAAACUGGGGCUGGUCUUGAGUGCUUACAUAUGGAUUUUUCUCCUGUGGCUGCUGCAAGCCAUGGAAGUGUUUAGGUUGGGAGUGGUCCAACUCAUAGGGAAGGUGGGUUCAGGAUGGGAGAGGCUGAGGACAAGGAGACAAAUAAGGGAACCAGCUCAAAAGCCCAGAGGACAGGUGGCUAGAACAAUCCAGAUGCAUCGAGAAGACAUCUACAAAUGGGACAAGUGCCACAGAACACCUCUAAACACAGAGGACCUCAGACACCUAAAAGGACAAGAAAGAUUCCCACAUAACCAGUGAGUCAGUUCUUCGAAUCAGGUGGCCAAAGUAUUGGAGCUUCAG